AGUACACACACAGUACGACUGAAGUGUCGCUGGAAGGCUGCAGGAACAGAAACCCCUGGAAAGAUCUUGCCCUUACCGAAGUUUGAAGGAAGAAUGUGCAAAGGGUAUUAUCUCUAUGUUCCCAUGCUUUGCUGACCCCAGGAGCAAGCAUAGUUAUGAGCAUUAUUACAAUGCAGAAGAUGGAAGUGGAUAUUUGGUGUGGAGAAUUAAAACUUUCCAAAAAGAAGCAUCAGAGGGACGGAUAAAACGCCCACGGCAACCACAAACAGGUGCAUCAUUUGCAGAUUGAUCAAGAUUUUGGACUUCUAUUUGGUGAGUCGACCGCUGCAAAGUUGUUGGAGAAGUGGUCUACCAACAUAAAACCAAAGGUUAUUGCACAGACCCGUGGCCUCACACAGACUUGUAAGCAUCCAAAAUGCUGAAGCCACUGAAGUUGAAGAUGGUAACUAUUGUGCUAUACAAGUUAUGAUUCAUGAAGAAUGGCUUUAGAUCUAUAGUUUCAAUUGAAGUCACAAUGUUACCCAUCAGACAUGCAUUAUUCAUAUGCAGCACAGAUUUAAGUAAAUAAUCAGAAUAAAAAUUACCGGUUUCUCUUAACAUUUCUACCUUGACCUUAGUGAUAUUGAAAUGAGGUCAUACAGUUAAAAUUAUUUACAACAUAUAAUCCAUGCUUUUGUUAUUUAGAGUCCCAAAUGAAAACAAUUUUAAACUGUAAAUCUUCAACUCGCGUACUAGGCCCUUGUGAAAACCCAUCUGAAAGUGCUCUAUUUUUACACACUAAUUUUUUAUAUACAAUACGAUUAUUCUUCUUUAGUACUUAAAGAAAAUCUUAAAAACAUCUAAGGAUACUUGUCUGUACUAUUUUGAGACACCAUGAAUAUGAACUUAAAUGUGCUUAAAAUAUAUUUAAAAAAUGUAUUUAGUUACUGCUUGUAGUAAACUUAAACCCAUCUUUCAUACAAACAAGUGGUAAAUAAAUACAUUUUUUAAAUAUAUUUUAAGCACAUUUUAGUUUACAUUCAUGGUGUCUCAAAAUAGCACAAUAAUUUUUAAUAUUAUUAAGGACAAAAUUAGUGUGCGAAAAGAGAGCACUUUCAGUACGUUAUUGAAGUGUACCUUCUUUUUCAGCUGGGUUUUCACAAGGGCCUAGUACGUGAGUUGCAGAUUUACACUUUUAAAUGUUUUAAUUUGGGACUCUGAUAACAAACGUAUGGUUUAUAUAUUGUAAAUAAAGUUUAAAGGGGACGUAUCAUGAAAAUCUGACUUUUUCCUUGUUUAAGUGCUAUAAUUGGGUCCCCAGUGCUUCUAUCAACAGAGAAAAUGUGAAAAAGAUCAACCCAGUAACUUAGUUUUGAUAAACCAUUCUUUGCAAGCAUGUGAAAAAAUAGCUCAUUGAAAUUUGGCUCCCCUUGUGAUGUAAGAAGGGGAUCUUAUUAUAAUAAUACCGCCUCUUAAUCUGCACUAUUCAACCACUGCCAUUUAGUGCAGCUCAUUUGCAUUUAAAAGGACACACCCAACAACUGCACACCCCUUUUGCUCACCCCUACAAAGUGUAAAUUUUAACAUGUUACAAUAAAUUGUCUAUAUGGUAUUUUGAGCUAGAACUUCACAUACAUACUCUGGGCAGGCCCGGAUUAAGAGGACUUUGGGCCCUGGGGCUAUAGCAAACACCAAAGGCCCCCCUUCAUCUGAUUGCCAAGCCAGUCUUCUACCGCAAUAGCUAUACAUAUUUUUUAUUGUUAUUAAUCAAUGUAUUUAAUUAGUGUUUUUCUUUAACAUUAUUUAUUAUUAUUUUUGCACACUAAAGAGUUCAGGCUAUUUAACACAGUAACCCUCAACUGCACAGAUUUUGGGAACAUUUUAUUGAUAAAACAUUUGUACCCUAUGUAGUGCAUUUACUCCAGAUAUGAACUCAAAAACAUAAAGGUUGCCAAAAAUCAGCAAAAACAUUACUCCUACUUCAGUCAUACUUCCUCAAUAAGUACUUAACCAUGAAUAAUUUAGGGAUAGUUCAAAAACAUCACCCUCAUGUUGAUAGCAUGAGGGUUAUUAAUAGCCUAUAUUUACACUGCAUUCACAAUUACAUAAAUGCUAUGAUUGUUAUUUUAGAAGAGUUUUUUGAAGAGCUGAUAUACAAAGUGAUUUUGGCUACACUACCUCUCAAGCAUUGCAGAGCUUUAGGCUACUGAUGCUCUUCUCAUCUUGUUGUGUUUAUGAGCGCUUUUAAUUUUAAAUGCAAGUGAUAGUUGGAUUGUAGAUCGCGUAUGGCGAAGACAAUUCAGCGCAAAUUCAAAAAUAUGAGAGAAUACACUGUUACACAGAACAACAGAACACGCGCGCAUAACGCACCGCACC